rnacentral:rRNA from 1 species
UACAGAGGGGGCAAGCGUUGUUCGGAAUUACUGGGCGUAAAGGGCGCGUAGGCGGCCUUCUAAGUCGAACGUGAAAUCCCCGGGCUCAACCCGGGAACUGCGUCCGAUACUGGAGGGCUUGAAUCCGGGAGAGGGAUGCGGAAUUCCAGGUGUAGCGGUGAAAUGCGUAGAGAUCAUGAGGAAGACCAGUGGCGAAGGCGGGUCUCUGGACAGUUCCUGACACUGAGACACGAAGGCCAGGGGAGCAAACGGG